rnacentral:sRNA from 1 species
UAGUUCCAUUUAUCGCCAUGGGACUUAU